rnacentral:misc_RNA from 1 species
GGAAGUAAAAGUCGUAACAAGGUUUCCGUAGGUGAACCUGCGGAAGGAUCAUUAACACACCGAUCUAAGAUCUCAACUCCCGAGAAGGAGCAGUGCCUGCAGUUGUGACCUCUUGGCCAGUCCAGGAGGCACGGCAGCGAGUCAGGCACUGCGACUAUGCUUACAUAAUAACCCUGGCAAUGGAGACAAACUGGUACUUUCCAGUGAGUCUCUCCUGCCAAAAACACGAAAGCGAAGAGGAUGAGGCACAAUGUGCCACCGUCCGCUUCCUUCCAUACAAAACUAACAUACCUAUAACCUGAAAUGAAAGUGGGGCAUGACACGAUCGUGCCCCAUAUCAUACUAUCAACAAUGUAAAUACAACUUUCAGCGAUGGAUGUCUAGGCUCCCACAACGAUGAAGAACGCAGCGAAAUGCGAUACGUAAUGCGAAUUGCAGGACUUCGUGAAUCAUCAAAAUUUUGAACGCACAUUGCGCUUCCGGGAAAUGCCCGGUAGCAUGCCUGGUUGAGUGUUCGUGGACCCCCCUUGGCCGCCAUGCCACUUACGAGAGUAAGUUAGCAGCAGGCGAGCCAGAGUAUGGACUGGUAUGCGAUGUAGAUUGCAUGCCUGGCCAAAGUGAGCAUUUGCCGCCAGUCCUCUGGAUGGCAUUUUGCGAGUGGAUCUGCAGAAUGUCUUGUGCCUGAGGAGACAAUGGUCUGUGCAUCUGGUAACUCUGCGCCGAAUGCGUGCGUGUGUUAGUAGAGGUAGAUGUCUGUCGUCUCUGAGCAGGAUGCUCGAGCAGUUUGUCCAAUCACCGUGAAGAGGAGGGAGGCGAGUCCUCUCUCAUCUUUGUCCAUUCCAAUUUCGAAUCUCAGCUUGGUAGGGAUACCCGCUGAAUUUAAGCAUAU